rnacentral:rRNA from 1 species
UACGGAGGAUCCAAGCGUUAUCCGGAUUUAUUGGGUUUAAAGGGUGCGCAGGCGGGCUGUUAAGCCGGCGGUAAAAAUUCAGGGCUCAACCCCGGCGAGCCGUUGAAACUGGCUGUCUUGAGAUGUCGAGAGGUAUGCGGAAUGCGCAGUGUAGCGGUGAAAUGCUUAGAUAUUGCGCAGAACUCCGAUUGCGAAGGCAGCAUACCGGCGGCGAUCUGACGCUGAGGCACGAAAGCGUGGGUAUCGAACAGG